AUUGAACGCUGGCGGCAUGCCUUACACAUGCAAGUCGAACGGUAACAGGUCUUCGGAUGCUGACGAGUGGCGCACGGGUGCGUAAUACAUCGGAACGUGCCCGAUCGUGGGGGAUAACGAGGCGAAAGCUUUGCUAAUACCGCAUACGAUCUACGGAUGAAAGCGGGGGAUCUUCGGACCUCGCGCGGACGGAGCGGCCGAUGGCAGAUUAGGUAGUUGGUGGGAUAAAAGCUUACCAAGCCGACGAUCUGUAGCUGGUCUGAGAGGAUGAUCAGCCACACUGGGACUGAGACACGGCCCAGACUCCUACGGGAGGCAGCAGUGGGGAAUUUUGGACAAUGGGCGAAAGCCUGAUCCAGCCAUGCCGCGUGCAGGAUGAAGGCCUUCGGGUUGUAAACUGCUUUUGUACGGAACGAAAAGCCUCUUUCUAAUAAAGAGAGGUCAUGACGGUACCGUAAGAAUAAGCACCGGCUAACUACGUG
rnacentral:rRNA from 1 species